rnacentral:lncRNA from 1 species
AAUUGAGAGAUUAUCAGCUCAAGAUCGUCUCAAGCCCGAGGAGUUUAUUACCAAGGUAUUGUUAAACCUAGUGAUUUAACUCUUUUUAUUAUUGCUAAAUGAAGCGUUUCAUUUUCUUCAGCUUAUCAUACGGCACGACGAGCUCGAAAAUGAGAAACAAGAGAUUAGGCAAAGGAUCAUAGAACUAGAGAAGCGUCGCCUCGACAUUGCUCGCGAGCUUCAUCGCCUCGAAUCCCAUCCUUCCGAUUGGAUCGAACUAGGACUUCAGGAGUACGGAAACAUGCCAGGUUGUAUUAUGAGCAUCGUUGACCUCGCAGGUCAAGGAGCAAAGUUAUUCCGUAACUCAAGACCCUUCGAGAUCUGGUUCUAGCUUAUCUAGAAAUAUUUAUACAUUGUUCGCAAUGUAUUUCUAUAUUCAUGCUCGAAUAUUGAAUUUAUAAAAACAAGACUCCAUGAUUGGAAUAAUAUUUUUAUUUUUAUGUUAUAGCUG